rnacentral:lncRNA from 1 species
GGCUAAGAUAUUUAACCUAGAAGCUGGGGAAGCUGCCUGGAGCUGUAGCUAUCGAGGGAACUAGAAGGCUGUAUUGGUGGAUAUGUUGCAGAGGAGGAGUGCCAGAGACAGAAGAGCACUGACAAGCCUGUUGAAGAAAGUAGGCAAAUGCCAUGGAGAAACCUCAAGGUAUUGCAUGUGGCAGCUUAAAGCUUGGGAGGACGAUUCGCUGGAGAGGAGCAGGCCUGCAGUAGGGACGGAGCGCUGUGCAGGAGCACCCCUGGCCCAGGGCUGCAGCAGACCCGACUGGGCCUUGCUUUGAGGAGUUACUUAUCCAACGUAAGCUUUCAACGGCGAACGUGAGUGAUUCAUAUCAUUUGAUCCGAACUGCUUGCUAAAAAGGGUUAUUUCCUCUGAUUCCCCAGCCUCUCUCAGAACCCAGUGUGCUUUCCCAUGAGUUAAUACCAAAGAAAGCACGUGCUUGAACUGCUGAGGUACCAAAGGCGCGCUGAGGAGCUUGCUGCCUGCUGGCAGCAUUGUGCUGUGCUGCCUGGCGCAGCCUGGCUGGGGCUCAGAACAGAGCCACCAGGACCACAGCCCGUGCCGGCGCCUCAGCCUCACGGCUCUGCAGCGCAAACAGCCGCUCGGAAUGUUUCCCUGCGUGAGCACGCGGGCACAGGCCCUACACCCUGCUCAGUUAAUUGAGAAGUGAAAAACAAAAACUCCCGGAACAGUGUCCAUCAGCUUGUUGUAUAAGGCUCCGACGGUCCAAGCUGCCACACAGGAUUGCCUGGCUCCCAGGUGAGCUGCAUUAGCACACAUACACCAACACGAGCGGACUCCUCCGUGCCCCACAGGUCUGCUUUUCAGGACCGCUUCUGCUUAGUUCGUUGGCUCGCAGGAUCUGUUUAUUUAUUGCCUGCAACCCUGCACACACAGGUUGCCCACCCGCUGCCCUCCACAGCUGGGGAGGUUUCUGAGUACGCAGUUGCAUUCAAUGUUUAAUUAGGAGCGCUAACAGGACAACGUGUCCCUGGCGCGGGCAGGGCACCUGCAGCCCUGACCUGCGGCCGUUCCUGGGUGCGGGGUGCUCGGUUUCG